rnacentral:tRNA from 1 species
GGUGGAGCUGGGCUGUGGAGCCCGCCCCGGCUGUAAACCGGGUUGUCGCACGACAAGAGGUGGUUCGACUCCACCCUCCACCA